CAACACAAGUGUCAAGUCCUUACAGCCUGUGAUGAGUGUAGGUCUGGUGCACAUGUGUUAAAAAGCUGUGACUAGAUCCACACUCAUCACUGGAGGUGAGAUACAUCUGCGGGGUGAACC
rnacentral:pre_miRNA from 12 species